rnacentral:rRNA from 1 species
GGACCCGCACAAGCGGUGGAGUAUGUGGUUUAAUUCGAUGCAACGCGAAGAACCUUACCAGGGUUUGACAUCCUGCGAAUCUCUUGGAAACAGGAGAGUGCCUUCGGGAACGCAGUGACAGGUGGUGCAUGGCUGUCGUCAGCUCGUGUCGUGAGAUGUUGGUUAAGUCCCGCAACGAGCGCAACCCACGUCUUUAGUUGCCAGCAUUUUAGUUGGGCACUCUAGAGAGACUGCCGGUGAUAAACCGGAGGAAGGUGUGGAUGACGUCAAGUCAUCAUGCCCCUUACAUCCUGGGCUACACACGUACUACAAUGCUACGGACAAAGGGCAGCAAACUCGCGAGAGCUAG